rnacentral:rRNA from 1 species
GCUGGUUCUCCUCGAAAACUAUUUAGGUAGUGCCUCGUGAGUGACCACUGGGGGUAGAGCACUGUGUCGGCUAGGGGGUCAUCCCGACUUACCAACCCCAUGCAAACUCCGAAUACCCAGGAGUACAAUCACGGCAGACAGACAGCGGGUGCUAACGUCCGUUGUCAAGAGGGAAACAACCCAGACCGCCAGCUAAGGUCCCUAAAAUUGGCUAAGUGGGAAACGAAGUGGGAAGGCUAAAACAGUCAGGAUGUUGGCUUAGAAGCAGCCAUCAUUUAAAGAAAGCGUAAUAGCUCACUGAUCGAGUCGUCCUGCGCGGAAGAUGUAACGGGGCUAAGCACGUAACCGAAGCUUCGGAUACUAAUUUAUUAGUAUGGUAGGAGAGCGUUCUGUAGGCCUGCGAAGGUGUUCUGUGA